AUUGAACGCUGGCGGCAGGCCUAACACAUGCAAGUCGAACGAGUGGCGGACGGGUGAGUAAUGUCUGGGAAACUGCCUGAUGGAGGGGGAUAACUACUGGAAACGGUAGCUAAUACUGCUUACGAUCGUUUUUGCCAAGAUGGGAUUAGCUAGUAGGUGGGGUAAAGGCUCACCUAGGCGACGAUCCCUAGCUGAUCUGAGAGGAUGACCAGCCACACUGGAACUGAGAAACGGUCCAGACUCCUACGGUAGGCAGCAGUGGGGAAUAUUGCACAAUGGGCGCAAGCCUGAUGCAGCCAUGCCGCGUGUAUGAAUAAGGCCUUCGGGUUGUAAAGUACUGUCGUCGGAGAGGCGGUACCCGCAGAAGAAGCACCGGCUAACUCCGUGCCAGCAGCCGCGGUAAUAC
rnacentral:rRNA from 1 species